UACGUAGGGGGCCAGCGUUGUCCGAAGUUACUGGGCGUAAAGAGCGCGUAGGCGGGUCUUUAAGUGAGGGGUGAAAGGUUCAGGGCUCAACCCGAACACUGCCUUUCAUACUGGGGACCUUGAGUGCGGGAGAGGCGAGUGGAAUGGUCGGUGUAGCGGUGAAAUGCGUAGAUAUCGAUCGGAACACCCAUGGCGAAGGCAGCUCGCUGGCCUGCAACUGACGCUGAGGCGCGAAAGCGUGGGGAGCAAACAGG
rnacentral:rRNA from 1 species